rnacentral:rRNA from 1 species
CCUACGGGAGGCAGCAGUGGGGAAUAUUGGACAAUGGGGGAAACCCUGAUCCAGCGACGCCGCGUGAGUGAAGAAGUAUUUCGGUACGUAAAGCUCUAUCAGCAGGAAAGAAAAUGACGGUACCUGACUAAGAAGCCUCGGCUAACUACGUGCCAGCAGCCGCGGUAAUACGUAGGGGGCAAGCGUUAUCCGGAUUUACUGGGGGUAAAGGGAGCGUAGACGGCAGCGCAAGUCUGGAGUGAAAUGCCGGGGGCCAACCCCGGAACUGGUCUGGAAACCGCGAAGCUGGAGUGCAGGAGAGGUAAGCGGAAUUACUGGUGUAGCGGUGAAAUGCUUAGAUAUCAGGCGGAACACCGGCGGCGAAGGCGGCUUACUGGACUGUAACUGACGUUGAGGCUCGAAGGCGUGGGGAGCAAACAGGAUUAGAUACCCGUGUAGUC